UGAGCAAUCUGCCCUUCUCAUCGGAAUAAGCGUUGGAAACGAUGGCUAAUACCGAAUAUGACUUCGGAUCGCAUGAUCUGAAGUGGAAAGCUCCGGCGGUGAAGGAUGAGCUCGCGGCCUAUCAGCUUGUUGGUGAGGUAAUAGCUCACCAAGGCGAUGACGGGUAGCCGGCCUGAGAGGGUGACCGGCCACACUGGGACUGAGACACCGGCAGA
rnacentral:rRNA from 1 species